GUGUCUUGAAGACGUAUGAUAUCAUGGGAAAGAAGCUGGAUUCACAACUCAAACUCAAAGAAUCAGAACUUAUGUUUCUUCGAGAGAAACUAGUCGAAGCUAAUAAAGAAAACAAGCUGCUUGAGAAAAGAUUGAAUGCCAGCGGGCCUGUGUCUCCUUUGGACAAUCUUCACUUUUCUAGCUUGAACCCCAGCCAUUUUA
rnacentral:misc_RNA from 1 species